ACCAAGAAGUCUGACAUGUGUGCGAGUCGACGGGUUCUAAAACUUGGGAUGCGCAAGGAAGCUGACGAGCGGGAGGCCCUCGCGAGUUGCACCGCUGGCCGACACUGAUCUUCUGUGAAGGGUUCGAGUUGGAGCAUGCCUGUUGGGACCCGAAAGAUGGUGAACUAUGCCUGAGUGGGGCGAAGCCAGAGGAAACCUGGUGGAGGCUCGAAGCGAUACAGACGUGCAAAUCGUUCGUCUGACUUGGGUAUAGGGGCGAAAGACUAAUCGAACCAUCUAGUAGCUGGUUCCCUCCGAAGUUUCCCUCAGGAUAGCUAGAGCCCAUUACGAGUUCUAUCGGGUAAAGCCAAUGAUUAGAGGCCUCGGGGACGCAACGCCCUCGACCUAUUCUCAAACUUUAAAUAGGUAGGACGGUGCAGCUGCUCCAGUGAGCCGCACCACGGAAUUGGGAGCUCCAAGUGGGCCAUUUUCGGUAAGCAAAACUGGCGAUGUGGGAUGAACCGAAAGCCUGGUUACGGUGGCAAACUAUGCUCUAACCUAGAACCCACAAAGGGUGUUGGUCGAUUAAGACAGCAGGACGGUGGUCAUGGAAGUCAAAAUCUACUAAGGAGUGUGUAACAACUCACCUACCAAAUCAACUAGCCCUGAAAAUGGAUGGCGCUGAAGUGUGCGACCCACACCAGGCCAUCUGGGCGAGCGCCAUGCCCUAAUGAGUAGGAGGGCACGGCGGCCGCCGCAAAACCCGGGACGCGAGCCCGGGGCGGAGCGGCCGUCGGUGCAGAUCUUGGUGGUAGUUGCAAAUAUUGAAAUGAGAACUUUGAAGGCCGAAGAGGAGAAAGGUUCUGUGUGAACGGCACUUGCACAUAGGUAAGCUGAUCCUAAGGGACGGGGUAACCCCGGCAGAGAGCGUGACCAAGCUCGUGCCCCAAAAGGGAAUUGUGUUAAGAUUUCCCGAGCCGGGACGUGGAGGUUGAUGGCGACGUUAGGAAGUCCGAAGACGCCGGCGGGGGCCUCGAGAAGAGUUAUCUUUUUUGCUUAACAGCCCGCCAACCCUGGAAACGGUUUAGCCAGAGGUAGGGUCCAUCGGCCGGAAGAGCACCGCAUGUCGUGCGGUGUCCAAUGCGCCCCUGGCGGCCCUUGAAAAUCCGGAGGACCGAGUACCGUCCACGCCCGGUCAUACUCAUAACCGCAUCAGGUUUCCAAGGUGAACAACCUCUGGCC
rnacentral:ncRNA from 1 species